CUAUACAUGCAGUCGAGCGGACAGAUGGGAGCUUGCUCCCUGAUGUUAGCGGCGGACGGGUGAGUAACACGUGGGUAACCUGCCUGUAAGACUGGGAUAACUCCGGGAAACCGGGGCUAAUACCGGAUGCUUGUUUGAACCGCAUGGUUCAAACAUAAAAGGUGGCUUCGGCUACCACUUACAGAUGGACCCGCGGCGCAUUAGCUAGUUGGUGAGGUAACGGCUCACCAAGGCAACGAUGCGUAGCCGACCUGAGAGGGUGAUCGGCCACACUGGGACUGAGACACGGCCCAGACUCCUACGGGAGGCAGCAGUAGGGAAUCUUCCGCAAUGGACGAAAGUCUGACGGAGCAACGCCGCGUGAGUGAUGAAGGUUUUCGGAUCGUAAAGCUCUGUUGUUAGGGAAGAACAAGUGCCGUUCAAAUAGGGCGGCACCUUGACGGUACCUAACCAGAAAGCCACGGCUAACUACGUGCCAGCAGCCGCGGUAAUACGUAGGUGGCAAGCGUUGUCCGGAAUUAUUGGGCGUAAAGGGCUCGCAGGCGGUUUCUUAAGUCUGAUGUGAAAGCCCCCGGCUCAACCGGGGAGGGUCAUUGGAAACUGGGGAACUUGAGUGCAGAAGAGGAGAGUGNAAUUCCACGUGUAGCGGUGAAAUGCGUAGAGAUGUGGAGGAACACCAGUGGCGAAGGCGACUCUCUGGUCUGUAACUGACGCUGAGGAGCGAAAGCGUGGGGAGCGAACAGGAUUAGAUACCCUGGUAGUCCACGCCGUAAACGAUGAGUGCUAAGUGUUAGGGGGUUUCCGCCCCUUAGUGCUGCAGCUAACGCAUUAAGCACUCCGCCUGGGGAGUACGGUCGCAAGACUGAAACUCAAAGGAAUUGACGGGGGCCCGCACAAGCGGUGGAGCAUGUGGUUUAAUUCGAAGCAACGCGAAGAACCUUACCAGGUCUUGACAUCCUCUGACACCCCUAGAGAUAGGGCUUCCCCUUCGGGGGCAGAGUGACAGGUGGUGCAUGGUUGUCGUCAGCUCGUGUCGUGAGAUGUUGGGUUAAGUCCCGCAACGAGCGCAACCCUUGAUCUUAGUUGCCAGCAUUCAGUUGGGCACUCUAAGGUGACUGCCGGUGACAAACCGGAGGAAGGUGGGGAUGACGUCAAAUCAUCAUGCCCCUUAUGACCUGGGCUACACACGUGCUACAAUGGACAGAACAAAGGGCAGCGAGACCGCGAGGUUAAGCCAAUCCCACAAAUCUGUUCUCAGUUCGGAUCGCAGUCUGCAACUCGACUGCGUGAAGCUGGAAUCGCUAGUAAUCGCGGAUCAGGCAUGCCGCGGUGAAUACGUUCCCGGGCCUUGUAACAUCAACGCGGCCCGUACAUCA
rnacentral:rRNA from 1 species